rnacentral:rRNA from 1 species
UACGUAGGGUGCGAGCGUUGUCCGGAAUUAUUGGGCGUAAAGAGCUCGUAGGCGGUGUGUCACGUCGUUCGUGAAAACCUGCAGCUUAACUGUGGGCGUGCGGUCGAUACGGGCAUCACUGGAGUUCGGCAGGGGAGACUGGAAUUCCUGGUGUAGCGGUGAAAUGCGCAGAUAUCAGGAGGAACACCGAUUGCGAAGGCAGCUCGCUGGGACGUAACUGACGCUGAGACGCGAAAGCGUGGGGAGCAAACAGG